UCAUUAAAAAUAAGAAUUUAUAUAUUGUAAGAUGAGCUUACAAGUCACAGGAUCAGAGAAGUGCUGAGGUUGGAAGUGACCUCUACCCAGAGGAUGGCCAGCUACAAAAUGCCACUCAGGACUAUAUCCAGUCAGGUUUUUAAUGUCUCCACAUCUUGUCUAGGCAAUCUCUUCAGCAUUCAGCCAUCUUCACAGCAAAACCUCCAAGCGUUCUUCCUGCAGUCCAACUUGAGCACAUUGCCUUUCCUCUUUUCACAGGAUACCACUGAGCACAAUCAGUUCCCAACUUUACUCCUAUCUCUGACCCAUUCAGGUAACAUCUCCCUCUCAUUUUUAUGCUGCAAUCCUUUCAUCAUGUGGUUAUUUGCUGGCCUCCCUCUACUACCCCAAUGUCUUGUAGUGGGAAGCCCAGAAGUGGGCACAGCCCCCACUGGCCCCACCAGGACUGGGCAGAGCAGAAGGCUCCCCCUCCCUCUACCCACUGGCACAGCUUUUACUGGUGCAGCUCAAGAGGCCACUGGGCACCUGUGCCCAAGGACACACUGCUGGCUCACAUCAACUUCGAUUGAUCACAACACCAGGAGCCCCAGCUUUCUUCCUGCAAAACUGCUUCCCAUCUGGUCAGACUCCAGCAUAUUCUAGUGCUUGGAUUUACCUCUUCCCAGGUGGAGGACUUCAUACUUACUCCCUUUGGUGAGCAUUGUGUGGUUCCUGGUCACCAUUUCUCCAGUUUCCCAAGACCCUCUGAAUGGCAGCACAACACUCUGGAAUAUCAGCCACCCCUCCCAGCUUUAUAUAAUUGACAAAGCAAGUUCCAGACCCAAACAAACAUAAAGUGGAUUGAACCAGAAGAAGUUUGGAUGGAAAACUCUCUUCACAAAAAAUUUUUGUCAAGCACUGGGCCAGACUGCCCAGGCAAAAGAAGUACCAAAUAGUCAUCAUUAUUUUUCCACCCAGAACUAUGAAGUCCAAGAAAAAAGCCCCAGACUGUGAGCAAGAAAUGCCAUCUCAGCUAGUCGUCACUGUCGAUACAGCUUUAGGGACAGAGGAAUAGUGCUGCAGAGUGCUGUAACCACUUCACCAAACCAGACAACAAAGAGUCAGAUUUGAGACGAGAGUCUCCAUCAGAAGUGCUGGAAACAGAAUGUGUUUUGUUAUACUAAUGUUUAUUGGAAGCACAGCAUCACCAAAGCAUUUCUGAGGCAAACCAAGACUAGCCAGGAAACUAUCACUUAUGGUAUUUUUCAUAUUUCCAGUAACUUAACCUCUUUCUUUUUUUUUUUUUUUUUUAACUAUAGAACAAUCCCCAACACAAGUGCUUUAUACUGAUUUCUUACAGAAAUACCAGCCAAAGAAAUGCCCCAGUAUCAUUCAGCCUGAUACUCUGGCUUGUUUCUUUACACCCUCUUGCAACAUCUCCUUGAGAAAAGACUCUCCCAAUGAUAUUAGCUUGAAGAAUCACUGUCCAUCUCCUGCUUUACUGCCAGAACAGAGCCCUGCCAAAGAAUAUCUCUUGCAAGAUAUGACAUUGAAUGUGAAACUCCUUGUUUUCUUUUGGCCUGUUUCCCCUCCUGAAAGACUAACUGAAGAAUAACCUUGACAGAAUACACAAUUUAACACCGACUUAAAAAAAAUUAAAUGGAACUUGAUUUUUAGCCAUCUUUCUCCUGGCAUGAUCAAGUCGGUCCCAAACUCACCCCAAACCCCCAGUACUGAGAGCCAGGAAAAAUGUUUGUUCUGCAGGGCUUGCUGCUCUCACUUUAAUUGACAAGUCUAUACUUCCUUGAAUUAAACACGCAUUUUAGAGUUUGAUUAAGAACUGUGCUUUAAUUUGCUUUUUUCUUUGCCAUGGCAUUUUAUCACUCUUGUAGACCAUCCUUGGACAGGAUUGGAACUAGUACAAAACCUUUUGUUUUCAGGCACAUGGAUUUCAGCCUUAUUUCUGUUACUCUGAGAGGUAUGAAUAAAUUAGGCUAUAAUUUUUUC